AAAAGCAUGGGAGGGAAGAAAAGGGAGUUAGCAAGUCUUCAAAAUCUCCCGUUUCCCCCACUGCUUUCUUUUUUAUGUUUUGUAAAGCUGUCCAGCACAUAAGGCAGGGUUCUGAGAUGGGAAGAACCCUACUCAUGGCUUCAUUGUGUGCAAGACACUACACCGGGCUGCACUUGACUGUCUUACUGUAAGUGGCAGUUUUGGAUGGAAGACCUAGCCAGACUGCCAAACAGUAAUGGAAAAUGAACUUAUGUGAUGUCAAAGGGAGAGAGGAUAUAGGCAGCAAAUCAAUAAGGAAGAGAAGAAUCAAGAUAUUUACAGGAGAAGAUGAGGCAAAGGAAAGCUGGGUGGCUCUCAUUUCAUCACAUAAAACAUGCUUUUUCUGAUCACCUCCUGGAACC